CAAACCAAACCCAUAAAACAACCCAGAUCUAGUUGGACCCUUUAAUUCGCACCGUUCAAUUUCUACCAUGUGUGUUCAUCUUCAUGCCGAAAUUGAUAAUGCUUGUUCCUCCUCAUUAUUGGAGUCGUGGUGGUGUGUUUUUAUAUACUGUGUAUCUAUAUUCACGAACCAGACCCUCUUCUAUCCAAAGUUGAGAACACAAGGUAGCUAAGAACCCACGCGGGGGAGAAGACAAGGACGAAAUCUUUAUAACUGUUCUUCAUCCUGACAGAUCUACUACUAGUAAUUACCUUGUAGAGCGAUCUACCUGCUACUUGUCUUCAGCCUCUACUCCCAUUUGGAGCUGUACAGGACAUACAAUAUCAGCUGUACAAAACAGUUUAUUUUUAAAAAAUAGGCAGCCUAGCGGGGAUCGAUCCGCAAAAAGGGCUGAGUUGGCGCCCCAAGUUAUGGAGAAAGUACCACUGAGUUAUCCAACAACCUUGUGUUAGAUGGUUCAAAAUUAAUAUAUGUACAUAAAUAUAGAUUUUCUAUUUUAUAUAUACAACGUAAUUUUUUGUCGAGGGGUUCGGAAACCCCUCGCUAACACGUAGGUCCGCCCCUGAUUGUGAUGCACCUUGUAUCAUGUUGAACUACAAAUUUUGCUAUGAUAAACAGUAUUUACUUCUUUUUAUAAAAACAUCCUAAUUUCUUGUA